CGUUGGAUGUAUAUCAUUGGUGCAACGUGAAAAAGGAAAGGAUUUAAAAAAAAAAGGGAUGUGCGAGAGUGUGAAUUGGUAACGGGAGUAGAAUUAGAGAUACUGGCAAGUAUAAAAUCGCAAUGUUAAGGCCGUAGCACGGGCGAGAGAGGUGGUCCUCUCUCGUACAGACGCGGCGGAGAAUAAUUCAAGUAGGUGGAAACUGGAAGGGUAAGGGCGAGGGUUGCGUGGCGGUGGAAAUUGCGGAUGGCAGGGGUAAAGCUGCAGCACUCCGCUUAGACAAAGCCUAACGAAGCUUCUAUUCAGCAACAGUAGGCAUCACGAGGCCCAACUUCACUUCUAUUAUACUUACUCGUCGGCACGAAGUGAAUUCCAUCCAUCAACGGAAUUCCAGGCUAAGCAGCUCUCUGCCGUCUCUAUCUCUGGCACGAGAGACUUAUCGACAGCCGAGGAUAUGUUGGCGCGAAUCUGUGGCUGGGAUAAGCGCGUCUCCACCGUAAUAAAACUCCCGGAGGGAAGUCAGUGCCGUUAGCUGGAACUUUUCCUUAAAAAGAGAAGGAAGAAGAGGAGGAGGAAGAAGAAUCAAUCCCGUAACGUCGACUGGGUUUACGUAUAGAUCAAUUCUCGAGAUCGUAACAAACUUAUUUUUCAUUAGGAAAAUGUCACUUUUUAUUUAUCUUUUACGUUUCUUUGUGUAUAAUGUUCAAAUCAGAGAGAACAUUUCGUUUGCUAAAUUGUUUUAUAAUUAAUUUCUUUUUUUUUAAAAUGAUUUUUAUUAAUCGUUAAUAGUUAUGUUCAAAAAUUUUAAAAGAUUAAUAAUUAAUAAUUUUAUUAAAAAAUAUUUACGUAAUUAAUAUUCAUUAGCAGUUUAUUGCUCGAUUUACGAAAGAUUCGAGAAAUUUCGUAAAUCGAAAUCAUCUUAUUGGCGAUGAGAGACAAAGGAUAUACAAUAAGGAGAAUGUAGUAGUGACAAAUGUAAGGGGAUGUUUGUCCUUAAGUGCUUGAAAAGCUGGAGUUGAGUAAUUGAACGCGUGAUCAAUGGGCUUAACUUCUCGAUCGAAUGAGUCUAGACGCAAGAACAGCUAGAAAAUAAGAGAAAAAUAAACGGCGAAUGUUUCUCCAUUGAUCUAUAUAUCAUCUUAUUGUGAAGUUAUGAAAGGAAAGAAGAGAAGAAAUAUGAUAUUGAAGAAAAGAAAAAUAUGGUAUUGCUCAUCUGUUUGUGAUUUUAUCAAUAAAACGGAAUUUAGUCAAAAAUUAGAACAAAGAAAGUAAAGAAAAAUUGGUAAGUUAGUGAUUUUCAUAUUUAUAAUAAAGGCAUC